CAUGUAAUAACAACAUGACACAUGUCAUGGCAUUUAAGACCCUUAGAAAGGUAUGAUGUGCAAUUUUUGUUGAGGCCAUCCAAUUAAACAUUUUUAAUCAACUGAAAGUGAAAGUACCACAUUGUAAGUUCUGAGGGCCAUCCUUCUUUUCUUCACAAAUAUAAACAACAUUUAUAAUGCAAAUCAAGGCCAAAUCACGUGUUUUGACUCCAUAAAUGGGUUAGACCCUAAUAGGCUGUUAAUUAUAUUGAAUA